UAAAACUUGUUAGGCUUUUAUUUUGAAUGUUUGCGCUGUCCUAAGCUGAGCGUAAUUUACGUGCUGUGUGCUUUUAUUUUGAAAUAAAGUAAGGCCCUUCCUGUAGCUGGAAGGUUAGGACAGGAAGUUUAGCACAGAAACAGGAAGUGGUUAGGGAUCCCAAAGUGAGGUCAAACAGCUCAAAGGAACGGUAACAAGGGUCAAUGUGUGAUGUCAUCAGGUCAAUGUGUGAUGUCAUCAGGUCAAUGUGUGAUGUCAUAAGGUCAGUGUGUGAUGUCAUGAGGUCAAUGUGUGAUGUCAUCAGGUCAAUGUGUAAUGUCAUAAGGUCAAUGUGUGAUGUCAUAAGGUCAGUGUGUGAUGUCAUCAGGUCAAUGUGUGAUGUCAUCAGGUGGAUAUUACUGUCUGAGAGUUUGUUAAAGUGAAAUGAGACAUUCAAAGAUGCAGCAGUGAGACUACAGGGAGACACUGAGGAUGAUUAUCUACGGAGAGCCUGAAGGGACAAA